rnacentral:tRNA from 1 species
AGCUUUAUAGUCAAUUAAUGAUAUUAGACUGCAAUUCUAAAGGAGUAGGUAUACUAAGGCUU